UACGUAGGGUGCAAGCGUUAAUCGGAAUUACUGGGCGUAAAGCGCACGUAGGCGGAUUUGUAAGUCAGGGGUGAAAUCCUGGGGCUCAACCUCGGAACUGCCUUUGAUACUGCAAAUCUCGAGUCCGAUAGAGGUGGGUGGAAUUCCUAGUGUAGAGGUGAAAUUCGUAGAUAUUAGGAAGAACACCAGUGGCGAAGGCGGCUCACUGGUCCGGUACUGACGCUGAGGUGCGAAAGCGUGGGGAGCAAACAGG
rnacentral:rRNA from 1 species